AAGUCGUAACAAGGUCUCCGUAGGUGAACCUGCGGAGGGAUCAUCAAAGAAUUAUUCACACAGAAAAGAUUGGAGGGGGGGAGUUUGAGAGAUUCACGUCUCUUGUUCGCUUCUUCUUCUAGUCUUUUCUGAACAAACAAACAUACAUGACUAGGAAAAACAAUUGAUUUGGUUUGGUUUGGCAAACAAGCAAGAAGUUCUUGGCUGAUAAGUAGCAUUGAUUUGGAAUGUGAAUCUAUAUCAAUACAACUUUCAACAACGGAUCUCUUGGCUCUCA
rnacentral:misc_RNA from 1 species